GCGCCGUGCUCUCAAUGCCUGAGACCACUAUCAAAAAGGUCUCCAACUGAUUGUCAAAGAUAACUGUGUGUGAUGUCAAAGCCCCACUAUCCAGCCAGUCGAAGGGGAAUACCAGGAGAUCAUUCUUUUAAUGUGACUGGCUAUGAAUGUUUUGCAGUUAUUCUUAUAAAGUGAAACUUCAAAUGUCAAGUUCUCAUGAAGUUCUACAAUUUGGAAUAUGCCAGAGAAACAUCUGGCCUCUGUAAAGAUGCGUAAAACCACUGUCAUGCAUGAAGUGAAUAAAACGCUUGAGACAUCAGCAUAGCCACUG